rnacentral:lncRNA from 1 species
AAAUUCUAUGGAGCAGUCAUUAUUCUUUUUUCAUUCUUGAGGAGAGAACAUCUAACUAACUACAUGUGAGCUAAAGCUAAGGAUUUCAUGGAGAGUUAUCGUCUAUAGUGUUCGCCUGUUCUUCGACGCCUAAUAACUCUGGAUAAUAUCGUAUGUAAAAAAAAUAAUUUAUAAAUGGACUCGGUACUUUUAAUAUUCCGAGCUAAUUUGGAUGGUCAAUGGAUAGGGUACGACUGUCACACAUUAGAAAGGUUUGAGCAAGGCACAAUCUGUUUUUUAAGUACUCAACUUGCAAUAGGUGAAUUUUCUCAUCUAUCGUACGUGUGGCACCUUAAACAACGCGUUUGGUAGUAGACAUCUUACUUCUAAGAACUUUGUAUAUAAUAAAUUGAUAACAUUUUGAAAAUAAUGAGUUUUUGUGAUUAUAAAUUGUUAUCAUUUGAAGAAAA